UGGGGAAUAUUGCACAAUGGGCGAAAGCCUGAUGCAGCGACGCCGCGUGCGGGAUGAAGGCCUUCGGGUUGUAAACCGCUUUUAAUUGGGAGCAAGCGAGAGUGAGUGUACCUUUUGAAUAAGCACCGGCUAACUACGUGCCAGCAGCCGCGGUAAUACGUAGGGUGCAAGCGUUAUCCGGAAUUAUUGGGCGUAAAGAGCUCGUAGGCGGUUUGUCACGCCUGGUGUGAAAGUCCAUCGCUUAACGGUGGAUCUGCGCCGGGUACGGGCAGGCUAGAGUGCAGUAGGGGAGAUUGGAAUUCCCGGUGUAACGGUGGAAUGUGUAGAUAUCGGGAAGAACACCAAUGGCGAAGCCAGAUCUCUGGGCUGUUACUGACGCUGAGGAGCGAAAGCAUGGGGAGCGAACAGGAUUAGAUACCCUGGUAGUCCAUGCCGUAAACGGUGGAUGCUGGAUGUGGGGCCCUUCCACGGGCUCCGUG
rnacentral:rRNA from 1 species